CCGACACCACGCCCAGCUAAUUUUUGUAUUUUCUUUUGAGUAGAGACGGGGUUUCACCAUGUUGGCCAGGCUGGUCUCGAACUCCUGACCUCAGGUUAUCCACCUGCCUUGGCUUUCCAAAGUGCUGGGAUUACAGGUGUGAACCAUGCCUGGCCGGAGUGGGGAUGAUUCAAACAGUGGAUAUUCGCAUAGAAUGUGCCCAUUCCUAUGGUGUAAAUAGUCCCACCGCAUCUGAUUUCUUUUUUCUUCUUUUUUUUUUGUUUUUUGUUUUUUUGUUUUUGAGAUAGAGUCUUGCUCUGUUGCCCAGGCUGGAAUGCAGUGGCACAAUCUCAGCUCACUGCAACCUCCACCUCCUGGGUUCCAAGCAGUUCUCCCUGCCUCCGCUGCCUGAGUAGCUCGAUUACAAGUGCCCACCACCAAGCCCAGCUAACUUUUGUAUUUUUAGUAGAGAUGGGGUUUGGCUGUUUGCCAGGCUGGUCUUGAACUCCCGACCUCAGAUGAUUUGCCCGCCUCGGCCUCUUACAGUGCUGGGAUUACAGGUGUGGGCCACCGCACCUGGCCCACAGCUGAUUUCAAGUCAUCAUAAGUAUCCUCACUUUCCUUGCCUCCAGUCCACCCAGCAAAAGCACAACUAACAUCAGAGAGCUCAGGCACGGGGAUAACCAUAAGGUCCUAUGUAAUCUGCAUCUCCCUUCCUGCCUUGGCCAUGCUGGCCACAGGCAGCAGGAAGGGGCAGAGGAAGGAGCUGGGCGAGGAUGUGGCCUCAGCUGGAGUUUACUUAGAGAUUAGCUCCAUGGAGAAAAAUAAAGUGGAGUAACAUGCUAGCAAGUUUUUAUUUAAAACUUUAAAAAUA
rnacentral:lncRNA from 10 species